rnacentral:rRNA from 1 species
AGACAAAUAUGAUCUGCAGAUAGCUGGUUUUCUAUGAAAUAUAUGUAAGUAUAGCCUUUAUUUUUAUAUAAUAUUAUUUGAUUAUUAAUUAAUUAUAUAAGGAUGG